GGAUGCGAUCAUACCAGCACUAAAGCACCGGAUCCCAUCAGAACUCCGAAGUUAAAAGUCCUCGUGUUGCAUUCC
rnacentral:rRNA from 1 species